UACGAAGGGGGCUAGCGUUGUUCGGAAUCACUGGGCGUAAAGCGCACGUAGGCGGAUCUUUAAGUCAGGGGUGAAAUCCCGAGGCUCAACCUCGGAACUGCCUUUGAUACUGGGGAUCUCGAGUCCGGGAGAGGUGAGUGGAACUGCGAGUGUAGAGGUGAAAUUCGUAGAUAUUCGCAAGAACACCAGUGGCGAAGGCGCUCACUGGCCCGGACUGACGCUGAGGUGCGAAAGCGUGGGGAG
rnacentral:rRNA from 1 species